UUUGGCUUCGCCAUUUUUGCAGCCAGACGCAGUGAGCGUCUAUCGUGUCUCUGGAGAGUGCUGCGAAUGCGCCGUCGAUGGCUGGACAGCACGGCGGAGCAGACGGCGCUUCGAGUGUCCACACAAUUAACUGCUAUCACAAGAACUGUCCAUUCAAUUAAUGCAUUUGGCUUGCGAAACUCCAUUAUUGGCCAAUUCUGUCUUAACGGGUGUGUCGCCUGGUUCGAUAUCACCAUCACCAACAAACAUCUACGAUCCCGGAAGCACGCGCCGCCGCGGGUGCACGAGAACGCGUUCGACAGCGCGAGGACAUGCGGCACUCGCUUGAAAGAAAAAGAGGCCGCACGGUACACGGAAGGCGUCCACAUUAGAACACUUGCACGGCGAGAACAGCGGCCGGACACGUGAAGUGGCUUCGCACGCAGGCGUCCCGUCGACGUCCAACCCUUGGCGACAGUACGCGUCCUGAGCAGAGACCCAACGCGCCGUCUGCGUCCUGCCGGCGCCCUCCAUCGUCGCCACGCACAAGGCAAACGUCAACACCCGGCUGCAGUUUCGUGACUCUUCACGCGCCUGUGAGCAGUCGUCCUGUUCCAGAGUACAUGACCGGCACUGUGCGGAACCGAGGUCAUGGCCUCUGCCACAGCAGGUGCGGCCCCUCCCGCGCUGUCGUCCGCGGCGGGCUCCGCGCGCAGUCGGUCCGCACAGGCUCUUCAGCAGCGGGCGGCGUCCCAGGCGGGCGCCGCUGCGAUGCCGCCACCGAGCCCUGUGGCGACCGGCCGCGGCCACUGCGACGGCUCCGGCAGCCCGCCUCCGCCUCGCCGGCCACGACUCCACCCCGCACCGGUGCCGACAUCACCACCUCGACCCCAACUGGGUCAUCCAACGACGAGAUGCGAAUCGGGGCAAGUCCUGCAAAACGAUGGAACGCGGCAUAUGCAAUGU
rnacentral:lncRNA from 1 species